rnacentral:rRNA from 1 species
GUAGGUGGCAAGCGUUGUCCGGAAUUAUUGGGCGUAAAGCGCGCGCAGGCGGUUCUUUAAGUCUGAUGUGAAAGCCCACGGCUCAACCGUGGAGAGUCAUUGGAAACUGGAGAACUUGAGUACAGAAGAGGAAAGCGGAAUUCCACGUGUAGCGGUGAAAUGCGUAGAGAUGUGGAGGAACACCAGUGGCGAAGGCGGCUUUCUGGUCUGUAACUGACGCUGAGGCGCGAAAGCGUGGGGGAGCAAACAGGAUUAGAUACCCUGGUAGUCCACGCCGUAAACGAUGAGUGCUAAGUGUUAGGGGGUUUUCCGCCCCUUAGUGCUGCAGCUAACGCAUUAAGCACUCCGCCUGGGAGUACGGCCGCAAGGCUG